GACGGAGGGGGCAAGCGUUGUUCGGAUUCAUUGGGCGUAAAGGGCUCGUAGGCGGACGGGUAAGUCUGGCGUGAAAUCUCCACCACUCAACGGGGAGAGGUCGUCGGAAACUGCUCGUCUGGAGUACGGUAGAGGACCAUGGAAUUCCAGGUGUAGCGGUGGAAUGCGUAGAGAUCUGGAAGAACACCGGUGGCGAAGGCGGUGGUCUGGGCCGUGACUGACGCUGAGGAGCGAAAGCCAGGGGAGCAAAGCGGGAUUAAGAUGACCCU
rnacentral:rRNA from 1 species